rnacentral:rRNA from 1 species
ACAUCCAGCGAACUUGGCAGAGAUGCCUUGGUGCCUUCGGGAACGCUGAGGACAGGUGCUGCAUGGCUGUCGUCAGCUCGUGUUGUGAAAUGUUGGGUUAAGUCCCGNAACGAGCGCAACCCUUAUCCUUUGUUGCCAGCGAUUCGGUCGGGAACUCAAAGGAGACUGCCGGUGAUAAACCGGAGGAAGGUGGGGAUGACGUCAAGUCAUCAUGGCCCUUACGAGUAGGGCUACACACGUGCUACAAUGGCGCAUACAAAGAGAAGCGACCUCGCGAGAGCAAGCGGACCUCAUAAAGUGCGUCGUAGUCCGGAUCGGAGUCUGCAACUCGACUCCGUGAAGUCGGAAUCGCUAGUAAUCGUGGAUCAGAAUGCCACGGUGAAUACGUUCCCGGGCCUUGUACACACCGCCCGUCACACCAUGGGAGUGGGUUGCAAAAGAAGUAGGUAGCUUAACCUUCGGGAGGGCGCUUACCACUUUGUGAUUCAUGACUGGGGUGAAGUCGUAACAAGGUAGGCGUAGCGAG